GACCCGAAAGCCAAAGACGCCGCCUGGAGCAGCGCCGGUGCUGCAACUAGUUGGAAUGCAAAAGUAAUCAACUAAAGCAUGUUAUGGAAAUCGGAAACAGUGACUACCACAAGCACCCACACCCGAGACAAUAUAGAAAAGUUAGAUUUUCUACAUUGACCGGCCGGGGAUUGAACCUGGGACAUCAGAGACGGCGACACUUUGAAAACCGAU